rnacentral:tRNA from 1 species
GGGGCGUUAGUCUAGUCUGGUAGGAUUCGUGCUUUGGGAGCAUGUGACGGGGGUUCAAAUCCUCCACGCCCCA